rnacentral:lncRNA from 1 species
GCUGGAACCAGGUAAUGAUCGAAUUCUUGGGAUCAGUGGUUCUCCUUCUUUUGAAUCGUGUUUUCCUUGUGCAUCUUGUGCUGUGUGGAAUUCUAAACGGGGCUCCUGAUGUGAAGAUUUUGUUCUGCCAUUAAAUUGAUCACCGGUCAUUGAGCCACUGACAAAUUGGAAGCUGUCCCUGUCAUUCGAGCAUUGUAUAACUUUUAUGGCGAAGAUACAUUAACUAAAUUGUUCUAUAAUCUUUUCACAUCUAAACAUGUCGAAAGAAGCUGGAUGUGUUCCUCGAGUUGAUGGCAUCGGUGUGGUGACAGUUCGAUUUACCUUUUAACUUCGCCACUUGCUGACCCUUGCAAAUGAAAUCCUUUCUUGGAGAAUUACUAUGUCUCUUCGAUAGUUUCAUAUCAAAAUAUUAGAAUAUGAUAUGCGGAUGUCAAUGAUUUUUUACGAUUAUAUUUUUUGAAACUUUUACAUAUCUACAAGAUUGGCUUGUUCAAUGUAAUGCUGACGAGUCAUGUGACGUUGAUGUGCGGGA